rnacentral:rRNA from 1 species
GAUGAACGCUGGCGGCGUGCCUAAUACAUGCAAGUCGAGCGAACGGACGAGAAGCUUGCUUCUCUGAUGUUAGCGGCGGACGGGUGAGUAACACGUGGAUAACCUACCUAUAAGACUGGGAUAACUUCGAGAAACCGUAGCUAAUACCGGAUAAUAUUUUUAACCGCAUGGUUCAAAAGUGAAAGACGGUCUUGCUGUCACUUAUAGAUGUAUCCGCGCUGCAUUAGCUAGUUGGUAAGGUAACGGCUUACCAAGGCAACGAUGCAUAGCCGACCUGAGAGGGUGAUCGGCCACACUGGAACUGAGACACGGUACAGACUCCUACAGGAGGCAGCAGUAGGGAAUCGUCCGAAAUGGGCGAAAGCCUGACGGAGCAACGCAGCGUGAGUGAUGAAGGUCUUCGGAUCGUAAAACUCUGUUAUUAGGGAAGAACAUAUGUGUAAGUAACUGUGCACAUCUUGACGGUACCUAAUCAGAAAGCAACGGCUAACUACGUG